UCCAGACUCCUACGGGAGGCAGCAGUGGGGAAUAUUGGGCAAUGGGCGCAAGCCUGACCCAGCAACGCCGCGUGAAGGAAGAAGGCUUUCGGGUUGUAAACUUCUUUUAAGAGGGACGAAACAAAUGACGGUACCUCUUGAAUAAGCCACGGCUAACUACGUGCCAGCAGCCGCGGUAAUACGUAGGUGGCAAGCGUUAUCCGGAUUUAUUGGGUGUAAAGGGCGUGUAGGCGGGAAAGCAAGUCAGAUGUGAAAACUACGGGCUCAACCCAUAGCCUGCAUUUGAAACUGUUUUUCUUGAGUGCUGGAGAGGCAAUCGGAAUUCCGUGUGUAGCGGUGAAAUGCGUAGAUAUACGGAGGAACACCAGUGGCGAAGGCGGAUUGCUGGACAGUAACUGACGCUGAGGCGCGAAAGCGUGGGGAGCAAACAGGAUUAGAUACCCGAGUA
rnacentral:rRNA from 1 species